GUCCACGCCGUAAACGUUGGGCGCUAGGUGUGGGACUCAUUUCACGAGUUCUGUGCCGCAGCUAACGCAUUAAGCGCCCCGCCUGGGGAGUACGGCCGCAAGGCUAAAACUCAAAGGAAUUGACGGGGGCCCCGCACAAGCGGCGGAGCAUGUGGAUUAAUUCGAUGCAACGCGAAGAACCUUACCAAGGCUUGACAUAUACCGGAAACAUCUAGAGAUAGGUGCCCCGCAAGGUCGGUAUACAGGUGGUGCAUGGUUGUCGU
rnacentral:rRNA from 1 species